rnacentral:lncRNA from 1 species
AAAAACGUGGCCUUUGCAAGAACAUCAAUCGAUCAUAAAUCUAAUGAUACCGAGUUGAUUUCUAAUGUUCUUUUCAACGAUACCUUUCUUCUUUUUUGUUUUUCUUUUUUUACACAUUUUGCACGACAUGAUUUAUUUGUUGUUUUUAUCGUGAAAGUGGAAAUUUGCACGACAUGAUUUAUUUCUUGUUUUUAUCGUGAAAGUGGAAAUUUAUAACCAUCGGCGGACCUAUUAAGGCGCAAGGACUGCAUCUCCUCUGGCCAAAAAAAUCAUUGUAGGUGCUUCAGAUUGCCCCUUUGCUUAACUGGUGUACAGAUCACCUUAUUUUCAUUUUCAACAUUUAAGUAAAUGUCUUUGUCCUUUUACUUUUAUUUAUUUUUAUAUUACUCCAUUUACUUAAGUUUACAAUGUAAAUAAGGAACUACCCCCCAUUUGGAUUCAAAUAAAAAUACUAGAAAAUCAAAUUCCCACCAAAUCAAAAUACGCAAAUUCGGUUUUAGUGCAAAAUAAGAUUUAGGCUAAAAAUGAUGGCUCAUUAAGUCAAGAUAUACUUCAUACUAAAAUCCCAUAAAAUCAAG